rnacentral:rRNA from 1 species
CCUACGGGCGGCUGCAGUGGGGAAUAUUGGACAAUGGGCGAAAGCCUGAUCCAGCCAUGCCGCGUGUGUGAAGAAGGCCUUCGGGUUGUAAAGCACUUUCAGUGGGGAAGAAAGCCUUGGGGCUAAUACCCUCGAGGAAGGACAUCACCCACAGAAGAAGCACCGGCUAACUCCGUGCCAGCAGCCGCGGUACUACGGAGGGUGCGAGCGUUAAUCGGAAUUACUGGGCGUAAAGCGCGCGUAGGCGGUCUGAUAAGCCGGUUGUGAAAGCCCGGGGCUCAACCUGGGAACGGCAUCCGGAACUGUCAGGCUAGAGUGCAGGAGAGGAAGGUAGAAUUCCCGGUGUAGCGGUGAAAUGCGUAGAGAUCGGGAGGAAUACCAGUGGCGAAGGCGGCCUUCUGGACUGACACUGACGCUGAGGUGCGAAAGCGUGGGUAGCAAACAGGAUUAGAUACCCUUGUAGUC